UAGAUGAAUGCUCGCUGGAUUGAGCGUCUAGCUGUUAACUAGAAGUUUGUGGGAUCGAGGCCUUCUCAUCUAG
rnacentral:tRNA from 1 species